rnacentral:rRNA from 1 species
UACGAAGGUGGCAAGCGUUGUUCGGAUUCACUGGGCGUACAGGGAGCGUAGGCGGUUGGGUAAGCCCUCCGUGAAAUCUCCGGGCCUAACCCGGAAAGUGCAGAGGGGACUGCUCGGCUUGAGGACGGGAGAGGAGCGCGGAAUUCCCGGUGUAGCGGUGAAAUGCGUAGAGAUCGGGAGGAAGGCCGGUGGCGAAGGCGGCGCUCUGGAACGUUUCUGACGCUGAGGCGCGAAAGCCAGGGGAGCAAACGGG